rnacentral:rRNA from 1 species
GAUGAACGCUGGCGGCGUGCCUAAUACAUGCCAGUCGAGCGAACAGACGAGGCGCUUGCUCCUCUGACGUUAGCGGCGGACGGGUGAGUAACACGUGGAUAACCUACCUAUAAGACUGGGAUAACUUCGGGAAACCGGAGCUAAUACCGGAAAAUAUAUUGAACCGCAUGGUUCAAUAGUGAAAGACGGUUUUGCUGUCACUUAUAGAUGGAUCCGCGCCGCAUUAGCUAGUUGGUAAGGUAACGGCUUACCAAGGCAACGAUGCGUAGCCGACCUGAGAGGGUGAUCGGCCACACUGGAACUGAGACACGGUCCAGACUCCUACGGGAGGCAGCAGUAGGGAAUCUUCCGCAGUGGGCGAAAGCCUGACGGAGCAACGCCGCGUGAGUGAUGAAGGUCUUCGGAUCGUAAAACUCUGUUAUUAGGGAAGAACAAAUGUGUAAGUAACUAUGCACGUCUUGACGGUACCUAAUCAGAAAGCCACGGCUAACUACGUG